rnacentral:rRNA from 1 species
AGAGUUUGAUCAUGGCUCAGAUUGAACGCUGGCGGCAUGCUUUACACAUGCAAGUCGAGCGGCAGCGCGGGGGCAACCCUGGCGGCGAGCGGCGAACGGGUGAGUAAUACAUCGGAACGUGUCCCGUAGUGGGGGAUAGCCCGGCGAAAGCCGGAUUAAUACCGCAUAUGCUCUACGGAGGAAAGCGGGGGAUUCGCAAGACCUCGCGCUAUGGGAGCGGCCGAUGUCCGAUUAGCUUGUUGGUGAGGUAAAGGCUCACCAAGGCGACGAUCGGUAGCUGGUCUGAGAGGAUGAUCAGCCACACUGGGACUGAGACACGGCCCAGACUCCUACGGGAGGCAGCAGUGGGGAAUUUUGGACAAUGGGGGCAACCCUGAUCCAGCCAUGCCGCGUGAGUGAAGAAGGCCUUCGGGUUGUAAAGCUCUUUUGGCCGGAAAGAAAAGAUCUUGUCUAAUAAACGAGGUUCUUGACGGUACCGGCAGAAUAAGCACCGGCUAACUACGUGCCAGCAGCCGCGGUAAUACGUAGGGUGCGAGCGUUAAUCGGAAUUACUGGGCGUAAAGAGUGCGUAGGCGGUUCUUUGUGUCCGCUGUGAAAUCCCCGGGCUUAACCUGGGAAUGGCAGUGGAAACUAGAGGACUUGAAUCCGGCAGAGGGGGGUGGAAUGCCACGUGUAGCAGUGAAAUGCGUAGAUAUGUGGCGGAACACCGAUGGCGAAGGCACCCCCUGGGCUGAGAUUGACGCUCAGGCACGAAAGCGUGGGGAGCAAACAGGAUUAGAUACCCUAGUAGUCC